UGGGGAAUAUUGCACAAUGGGGGAAACCCUGAUGCAGCGACGCCGCGUGAACGAAGAAGGUAUUCGUAUCGUAAAGUUCUGUCCUAUGGGAAGAUAAUUACAGUACCAUAGAAGAAAGCUCCGGCUAAAUACGUGCCAGCAGCCGCGGUAAUACGUAUGGAGCGAGCGUUGUCCGGAAUUAUUGGGCGUAAAGGGUACGCAGGCGGUUUAAUAAGUCGAAUGUUAAAGAUCGGGGCUCAACCCCGUAAAGCAUUGGAAACUGAUAAACUUGAGUAGUGGAGAGGAAAGUGGAAUUCCUAGUGUAGUGGUGAAAUACGUAGAUAUUAGGAGGAAUACCAGUAGCGAAGGCGACGUUCUGGACACAAACUGACGCUGAGGUACGAAAGCGUGGGGAGCAAACAGG
rnacentral:rRNA from 1 species